AUACGUAGGGAGCGAGCGUUGUCCGGAAUUACUGGGCGUAAAGGGCGCGUAGGCGGCGCUUCAAGUCGUCUGUCAAAUGGGAGGGCUUAACCCUUUUUCGCAGACGAAACUGGAGAGCUUGAGAAGCAGAGAGGCAAACAGAAUUCCUGGUGUAGCGGUGAAAUGCGUAGAUAUCAGGAAGAAUACCAGUGGCGAAGGCGUUUUGCUGGCUGCAUACUGACGCUGAAACGCGAAAGCCAGGGGAGCAAACGGGAUUAGAUACCCCGGUAGUCCUGGCAGUAAACGAUGUAUGCUGGGUGUGAGACUAGCGAUAGUUUCGUGCCGAAGUUAACGCGAUAAGCAUACCGCCUGGGGAGUACGGUCGCAAGAUUGAAACUCAAAGGAAUUGACGGGG
rnacentral:rRNA from 1 species